rnacentral:rRNA from 1 species
AGAGUUUGAUCAUGGCUCAGAUUGAACGCUGGCGGCAGGCUUAACACAUGCAAGUCGAGCGGUAACAGAAGAAGCUUGCUUCUUGCUGACGAGCGGCGGACGGGUGAGUAAUACUUAGGAAUCUGCCCAGUAGUGGGGGAUAGCACGGGGAAACUCGUAUUAAUACCGCAUACACCCUACGGGGAAAAGGGGGCGCUUGCGCUCUCGCUAUUGGAUGAGCCUAAGUCGGAUUAGCUAGCUGGUGGGGUAAAGGCCUACCAAGGCGACGAUCUGUAGCUGGUCUGAGAGGAUGAUCAGCCACACCGGGACUGAGACACGGCCCGGACUCCUACGGGAGGCAGCAGUGGGGAAUAUUGGACAAUGGGGGCAACCCUGAUCCAGCCAUGCCGCGUGUGUGAAGAAGGCCUUUUGGUUGUAAAGCACUUUAAGCAGUGAAGAAGACUCUAUGGUUAAUACCCAUAGACGAUGACAUUAGCUGCAGAAUAAGCACCGGCUAACUCUGUGCCAGCAGCCGCGGUAAUACAGAGGGUGCAAGCGUUAAUCGGAAUUACUGGGCGUAAAGCGAGCGUAGGUGGCUUAAUAAGUCAGAUGUGAAAUCCCCGGGCUUAACCUGGGAACUGCAUCUGAUACUGUUGGGCUAGAGUAGGUGAGAGGGAGGUAGAAUUUCAGGUGUAGCGGUGAAAUGCGUAGAGAUCUGAAGGAAUACCGAUGGCGAAAGCAGCCUCCUGGCAUCAUACUGACACUGAGGUUCGAAAGCGUGGGUAGCAAACAGGAUUAGAUACCCUGGGUAGUCCACGCCGUAAACGAUGUCUACUAGUCGUUGGGGAACUUGAUUCCUUAGUGACGCAGCUAACGCAAUAAGUAGACCGCCUGGGGAGUACGGCCGCAAGGUUAAACUCAAAUGAAUUGACGGGGCCCGCACAAGCGGUGGAGCAUGGUGGUUUAAUUCGAUGCAACGCGAAGAACCUUACCUGGUCUUGACAUAUCUAGGAUCUGCAGAGAAUGCGGGGAGGUGCCUUCGGGAAUAAGAAUACCGUGCCUGCCAUGCU